GACAAACUGUGGCGUCACGAUGCAAAUUGUUCGCUGGCUGCGUUAAAUGGAGUGAAGAAGCAGCGGAUGCCGCUGCGCGUUCGUUGCGGGGCUGUCAGUGUGUCCAGACAAGAGAAACACGUACCAAGACGAAAGACGACAUGGGAUGGACGUGAUCUACGCGCCACAGGACGAAUUACAAUCAGCAGCGGUAAAACUGGGCCUGUACUUCUUACCUGAUGCAGUAUCAGAGCAGUCGGUGAGACGCAAUGUUCACUUUGUAUGCCUUGUUAUGUUUCCCUUUUGUACAGCACGAGAGGCAAUCGUGCAGACGUUCUCUUUAGGCAAUUAUUGCUCGCACUGUUUGACACAAUGAGACUCCGAUAGUAGCGCUCCAAAUUAUCCGCUUCACUGGAAACGACAAAAGCUAGAGCGGAAAGAUAGCGCAGAAAACCCAUUGUUCGACACUGGCCGAUUCGGAAAGGAGAUAAGCGAGUCUGGCGCUUGCUUGUUUACCACUCAUAGGUUCCGGAAGUAAAUGUGGCUCCCUACUGGCUAUGAAACUUGACAGCAGACCUGGAUGCGUCAGCCUUGUCUCCCGCAACAAAAACGGUCCUUUUCAGGGCCACCAAUAUUUUGCCACAAGAGGCUUACCCUGCGUGCAGAUCACCAUUUCAGAGGAACAUUAUAGAAUGAUAGCCUUUUUGAUUGUUUACACACUGAGAACAUAUAUCGCUACCUUAUAUAUCUUAAUAAUAUCGCUUCCGUCCUUUCUUUCAGGAGCAGUCACCUGCAACACCAGGGAACGUAACAACAAUACGAACCUACAAAAUGUAUCCUAGCAAGAAAUAAAUCUCAAAUU